CCUGCUUUAAUCCUGUUUGAGGCUGGGCUGCCUUGGUGAUGUGUGAGGAAGGGAUGAGAGAUGCCGCGCUGGAAGGGCUUUUUCCUCUCUGCCUGACCUGGGGAAUUGACCACCGGUCUUCUACCUGAGGAAUGCCACGUAAAUUACAGGUUCAACUUCCUGGAAUGCCUCUCCAUGCAAAUGAGGCAUCCUCAGAAGCUUAAACCUCAGCCAAUGAAACUUCACCCUAAGACGAGCCCCUUCCUACUCUGCAAGAUUCACAUAUAUAGCCCUUGCUUCACCACAAAUAAAGUGUACU